rnacentral:tRNA from 1 species
GGGUAGCUUUCAGUGACUAGUUUCGACCUGGUUUUUUAAUAGCUAUGUAAUUUAUUCU